rnacentral:rRNA from 1 species
AAUCAACGCUGGCGGCGUGCCUCAGACAUGCAAGUCGAACGCGAAAGUCCCCUUCGGGGGACAAGUAGAGUGGCGCACGGGUGAGUAACACGUAGGUAAUCUACCUUCGGAUGGGGAAGUAACAACCGGAAACGGUUGCUAAUACCGCAUAAUGCAGCGGCACCUAAUGGUGACAGUUGUUAAAGCGGGGGAUCGAAAGACCCCGCGUCUGAAGAGGAGCCUGCGGCGGAUUAGCUAGUUGGAAGGUAAUGGCUUACCAAGGCGACGAUCCGUAGCCGGCCUGAGAGGGCGGUCGGCCACACUGACACUGACAUACGGGUCAGACUCCUACGGGAGGCAGCAGUCGGGAAUUUUGGCAAUGGGCGAAAGCCUGACCCAGCAACGCCGCGUGAAGGAUGAAAUCCCUCGGGAUGUAAACUUCGCAAGAACGGGAAGAAUAGUAGGGGACAACACCCCCUAUGAUGACGGUACCGUUUGUAAGCUCCGGCUAACUCCGUGCCA